rnacentral:rRNA from 1 species
CCUACGGGAGGCAGCAGUGGGGAAUAUUGGACAAUGGGGGGAACCCUGAUCCAGCCAUGCCGCGUGUGUGAAGAAGGCCCUCGGGUUGUAAAGCACUUUCAGUGAGGAAGAACGCCUGGUGGUUAAUACCCAUCAGGAAAGACAUCACUCUCAGAAGAAGCACCGGCUAACUCCGUGCCAGCAGCCGCGGUAAUACGGAGGGUGCGAGCGUUAAUCGGAAUUACUGGGCGUAAAGCGCGCGUAGGUGGCUUGAUAAGCCGGUUGUGAAAGCCCCGGGCUCAACCUGGGAACGGCAUCCGGAACUGUCAAGCUAGAGUGCAGGAGAGGAAGGUAGAAUUCCCGGUGUAGCGGUGAAAUGCGUAGAGAUCGGGAGGAAUACCAGUGGCGAAGGCGGCCUUCUGGACUGACACUGACACUGAGGUGCGAAAGCGUGGGGAGCAAACAGGAUUAGAUACCCGUGUAGUC